rnacentral:rRNA from 1 species
UACGAAGGGGGCUAGCGUUGCUCGGAAUCACUGGGCGUAAAGGGUGCGUAGGCGGGUCUUUAAGUCAGGGGUGAAAUCCUGGAGCUCAACUCCAGAACUGCCUUUGAUACCGAAGAUCUUGAGUUCGGGAGAGGUGAGUGGAACUGCGAGUGUAGAGGUGAAAUUCGUAGAUAUUCGCAAGAACACCAGUGGCGAAGGCGGCUCACUGGACCGGUAUUGACGCUGAGGUGCGAAAGCGUGGGGAGCAAACAGG